UUCUUGCCAACAUCUAGCAUGAACAGGUCAGCUAUGCUAGUAAGCCAUCUUUAAAUUUUUUUUUUUUUUUUUUUUUUUAGUAAGCCAUCUUGGAAUCAGAUUCUCCAGUCCCCCAAAAAACUUUAGAAGACUAUAGCAUCAUGAGGGACCAUGACCCAGAACCAUUUAGGUCACUUCUAAAUUUUUUAUCAACAAACACUACAUGAGAUUUUAUGGUAAAGGCAAGUAAUGAAGCAUUGGAUGCGAUCAUCACUGCCAGGUAGUGACCUGCCAGGUAGGGACCUCAGGCAUGAAGUGAGAAGACUCAAGGUGUUCUGUUUAGUUUUAUUUAUUUGCUUACUUUAAAAAAAAAAAAACAACCUUUAAUAUCCACAAGAAAUUGUAAAAACAGUACAGAGUUCCCAUGUAUACUUAACAUAAUUUGAUGAUAACAUCUAACAUAGCCACAUCAUCAAAAAAAACUGACAUUGGUGCACUAUUAAUUAAACCAUUACUUGGAUUCCA